rnacentral:tRNA from 2 species
GGUUAUUUGGCGCAAUAGUAACGCGUUUGCCUUUUAGCGAAAGGUUUUUGGUUUAAUUCCAAAAAUGGCCA